GAUGAACGCUGACAGCAUGCUUAACACAUGCAAGUCAACUUGAACUUCGGUUUGGGUGGCGGACGGGUGAGUAACGCGUAAAGAACUUGCCUCACAGAUAGGGACAACAUUUGGAAACGAAUGCUAAUACCUGAUAUUAUGAUUUUAGGGCAUCCUAGGAUUAUGAAAGCUAUAUGCGCUGUGAGAGAGCUUUGCGUCCCAUUAGCUAGUUGGAGAGGUAACGGCUCACCAAGGCGAUGAUGGGUAGCCGGCCUGAGAGGGUGAUCGGCCACAAGGGGACUGAGACACGGCCCUUACUCCUACGGGAGGCAGCAGUGGGGAAUAUUGGACGAUGGACCAAGAGUCUGAUCCAGCAACUCUGUGUGCACGAUGAAGUUUUUCGGAAUGUAAAGUGCUUUCAGUUGGGAAGAAAAAAAUGACGGUACCAACAGAAGAAGUGACGGCUAAAUACGUG
rnacentral:rRNA from 1 species